rnacentral:rRNA from 1 species
AUUGAACGCUGGCGGCAUGCCUUACACAUGCAAGUCGAACGGCAGCACGGGAGCAAUCCUGGUGGCGAGUGGCGAACGGGUGAGUAAUACAUCGGAACGUGCCCAGUAGUGGGGGAUAGCCCGGCGAAAGCCGGAUUAAUACCGCAUACGACCUAUGGGUGAAAGCGGGGGAUCGCAAGACCUCGCGCUAUUGGAGCGGCCGAUGUCAGAUUAGCUAGUUGGUGGGGUAAAGGCCUACCAAGGCGACGAUCUGUAGCUGGUCUGAGAGGAUGACCAGCCGCACUGGGACUGAGACACGGCCCAGACUCCUAGGGGAGGAAGCAGUGGGGAAUUUUGGACAAUGGGCGCAAGCCUGAUCCAGCCAGACAGCGUGCGGGAAGAAGGCCAUCGGGUUGUAAACCGCUUUUGUCAGGGAAGAAACGCUCCGAGUUAAUACCUCGGAGUAAUGACGGUACCUGAAGAAUAAGCACCGGCUAACUACGUGCCAGCCGCCGCAGUAA